CACAGGCAAUUGACUCCCUACAAAUGAUGCCCUAAAUUGAAGAAGACGAGAGAUUGAGGGAGCAUUUACAAUGGAAACGAACGGGAAUAAUACCAACUCCAGGUUCCCCACCAACCAGCCAAGUCGUUAGCGAUCCAAGGGGGAAAAGGGAAUAAAAAGCUCGCUGCAGAAUAAGGCAGAGGAUUCGGUGCACCUGAUGCUUAAACUCGCGGCGUUCGACUCGAAAGGUCUGAUCGCCCACCAAUCGCCGCCUUCUGGUCACGAAGGAAGGACGAGCAGCCGCGGAGUGCAAGACUGACACAAGGGCAAGGCUCUACGGCGUCGAUGGCUGUGCACGAGACUUGUCCGGCGACACGGUUCGCAGAUCGGCAAAAGGCAGCGGAUCUUCCCCUCGCAUAGGUCGGAGGAGAGGACAGGAAACACCAAACGUCGCUCGUCGGACGCCGCACAAGUGAAAAAAAAACGUCGGAGAAGACGCAGAGGGAGGGAGAAGCUGUGGACCCCUUUUAUGAAUCCCGAUAAGACUCCGUUUAGUUGGGGAGAAGAGGAAGGAUAGAGGAGAAGACUAGGCCCACCGAUUUAGUAGUGGGUUUGGCCAGAUGAAUUACCAGUCGUGUUUACUUGGGCGGCUUGUCAAGCGAGCACUUGUUGCUGCCAUGGCGCUCCAUCUCCGUCUUCAUCCCAAUCGCCGAGAAUCUUGUCUCCUCUCGCUCUCGCCGUUCUCCCUCCGAUUCAGAUGAUAAAGAGUCGCUCACUCUCUUGAUUACAUGCCAUCGGUCCGUCGAGCUCAAUCGGCAGCUAACGCCGUCAAUGAUCGGCCUCUUCACCACCAUCAAGGGCUUCCUUACCUCAACCCCGGCCGGCAGCACUCCAGCGACUCUUCCGCUCCUCCUUACUCUCUCUUCGCCUCCCGUGCUAAGCCACAGCAUCAUAGCAAUCCAUGGAAGCGCCACCUUUUCCGCUUGCUCAUCUUCUUCCUCCUCGGUUUUCUCUUCGGCCUCUACCCCUUCCCGGAGCUUGAUGACCUCCCCUUCUUUUCUCCCACCAUUUCCUCCAUAAGUAUGAUUAACCUUCCGCGCCACGAUUUAGUAGCCCUUCUACCCUCUGGUCGUCAGGAGAUCGAGAUCCAGCCGUCGGAAGGCAGGACGCACGCCACGGAUGAGCUAACGGAUCCAUCGCGCAGUGGGAAGCUGCUGAUCGUCGUCACGCCCACGUACAACCGCGCCUCCCAGGGUUACUACCUGAACCGGCUGGGGCAAACGCUGCGCUUGGUGCCUCCUCCGCUUCUUUGGAUCGUGGUGGAGAUGCACGUGGCUUCUGCGGAGACCUCGCAGAUCCUCGUGGAUGCCGGAGUUAUGUGCAGACAUCUUGUCUGCAAUAAGAACACAACCAAUGUCAAGGACAGAGGCGUUCAUCAGCGAAACACAGCACUCGAGCAUAUCCAGAAGCACCGCCUGGAUGGGAUUGUGUACUUCGCCGAUGACGAUAACAUCUACUCACUUGAGCUGUUCGAGCAACUGAGGAAAAUCAGGAGAUUUGGUGUUUGGCCUGUUGCAAUGCUCUCUCAAAGCAAAAAUAAGGCCAUACUAGAAGGUCCGGUAUGCAAUGGAAGUCAAGUAAUAGGAUGGCAUACUAAUGAGAAAAGUAAGAGACUUAGGAGAUUUCAUGUUGAUAUGUCUGGAUUUGCGUUCAAUAGCACAAUAAUUUGGGACCCCAGGAUAUGGCACCGUCCAAACUCAGAUGCCAUUAGGCAACUAGACUCCGUGAAAGAGGGAUUUCAGGAGACUACAUUCAUAGAGCAGAUUGUAGAGGAUGAAAGUCAAAUGGAAGGGCUACCAAAGGGUUGCUCGACGAUCAUGAAUUGGCAUCUUCAUAUAGAAUCUAGAAAUCUUGUUUAUCCUAAAGGAUGGCAAGUGCCAAAGGACCUUGAUGCUAUUGUUCAUUCAAAUGUGCGGCUUUCACAAGGAUCGACUUCAUAAAAUGGUUUAAAUUGCGUACUCAAGGUGCCAGACGAAUGCUUUGGCUUUAUAUCUAUCAUCAGUAAGAAUGAGAAUUUCAUGAAAGCACCUGACCUAGCACUCUUCGAAUUCGUGCUUUUAUACAGGAAGCAACUUUCUUAGUGCGGCAGUUGCUUGAGGAUGGAUGAAUCAGCCCACUGAGAUCGUUUAGUUCCAUUUUACAGAUUCUUUGAAUAGCAGACAAAUAAUCAUGAUACUGCUUUGUAUCUGCACAGAUUACAAAAGCUAUCAAUUUUUUGUUUUCCCUUUAUUUACCCUCUUUCUUGUAAGCUGUUUUCGGCAUCAAUUUUGUGUUUUUAAUAAUACAAAAAUUGAUCAGUA